CAUUCAGAAGGUAUUUAUUGGCUGCCUACUCUGUGCAAAAUAGUGCCCUGCCCACAGGGACACAGCCAGCUGGGGAGACAAGAUACAACAUGCACGCGAAGUUUUAAAAACACUGCAAAGAACAAGGGCCCAUGCCAUCGCUUGCCAAGUGAAAUGCAGAAGGGAAGAGCUCCUGCUUGCCUGGAGUGGUCCCUUAGCCCUGUCUGAUCUGGCGGUGCUGGUGCUGGAGGAGGCCCUCCCAGCAUGUAGACCCCUGCCCCUUGCAAGCUCUCACCCUCCUCCUCUCCAGAAUGGGGACAACGAAGGGGUAUCCCACACUUAUGGGAAACAGUGGCUGCCUGUGUCGGCAAGCAAACGCACAUCCUGUCACUGGUGGAGAAGAGGGCCUUGCUGUUUUCCACACCCAUUCCAGACUUGCAAGAAAGAAAGUCUCCCCAGAAACUGGAAGGGAUCCAGAAGACAUGGGCAAACCUGCAGCUGUCCGUCAGGGUGCUGGGAUGGGGUUUUCCUGCCAAGGGACUCAGCUCGACAAAUCUGGCCACAGAAAGAACAAUAUUGGUAAACGUGUUAAAAAUAAUAGACAAUGCCGUGCAAGAUACUUGGCCCAUCUUUAGCUUCCUUCAUUUGCCUGUGAAAUAAAACAAAGAGCGGUAAGUCAGGAUUUUUUUU